GGUGAUAGAGGCGAGACCUGUACCCGCCGUGCGGGCCAACAUGGGGAAAGCCCGCGGCCUUGGGCCGGGCUUCGUCCAGGAAGGAGGUUCCCAGGAUAACGCGCUCCCGGGGAGGGGUCCCCUCCUGUUCACGGAGGUGCGUGGGCUGGGUGGGCCCGGGGCAGGAAGCGCGGCCCUGAGCUUUUCCACCUAGGCGGAGGCCAGGGUUCGUGCAGCUUGAAAAGGAUUUUAUCGAAAUUGCCCCAGGAGCAUUUUCCGAGUCUUGACUGAGGGCCCCACCCUGCGCUGGGGCUCAGACCCGGCGGGGACCGGGCGUGGCCGGACGUGCUCCCAGCCGGGUGGGAGGAGGAAGCGGCCGGAGGCGCGGGCCCGCAUAACAAUAAGCCUCCGGGCUGGAGACCCGGCGGCCUUUCAGAGACUUAAGUGGUUGCUCUGGUCGGCGAGGUAAGCGGGAAGCCUGUCUCCAAACGCCCUGCAGUUCUCGCCCUCCGGAGGUUCCAGGCGGCCGAGCACUCAGCCCCUCCCCCAGCCCUUUCCUGGAAAUGUCUUUUAAGAGGCUCCAGUUGGGCGACCCGCCAGAACAAGGGUGCACCCGCCGUUCGGCAGGACUAGGGGCUGUGUAUGAAAGAUCCCGAAUCCUCGAGGACACGCUGGCCUCUGCUGUGAGAGACGGUGCUUGCCCCGUUCUGCCCACCCGAGGGCAGAAACCUGCAGGGGGAUCCUUCGCGUGCAGGGGGAUCCUUCGUGCAGGGGGAUUCCGCACACCCUACACGCUCCCAAAGUGUGCAGGGAUGUUCACGUUGUGCAGCGGCCACCCCCAUCUGCCCAGAACUUGCUCUUCCCAAACAGAAGCACUGGACACUCACUCUGCAGCCCCCCUCCCGCCCCCAGCGGGAUGCGCGUGGGUGCCGUGUCUGACUCUUUGCCACCCCGUGAACUGCAGCCUGCCAGGCUCCUCUGUCCGUGGGAUUCUCCAGGUGAGGAUACUGGAGUGGGUUGCCAUGCCCUCUUCCCAACCCAGGGAUCUAACCCAGGUCUCCCGCGUUGCAAGCAGAUUCUUUACCAUCUGA
rnacentral:lncRNA from 1 species